UACGUAGGGCGCGAGCGUUGUCCGGAAUUAUUGGGCGUAAAGAGCUCGUAGGCGGCCUGUUGCGUCCGCUGUGAAAUCCCGGGGCUCAACCCCGGGCGUGCAGUGGAUACGGGCUGGCUGGAGGCAGGCAGGGGAGAACGGAAUUCCUGGUGUAGCGGUGAAAUGCGCAGAUAUCCGGAGGAACACCAAAGGCGAAGGCAGUGUCCUGGGGAGUACCUGACGCUCAGGUGCGAAAGCCAGGGGAGCGAACGGG
rnacentral:rRNA from 1 species